ACAAAAUUUCAUAAAAAUGAUGUAAAAUAUUUUGAUUCAUGAGGAAAUUUAAAACCAAAUCAAUGAAAACAUUUUAUACAUUUGAUAAAAUGUUAAUUAUCCAGUUUUAGCAGAAAAUAAAGUGACUUUUCAAUGGAUAGAUGCUUGUUCACAGUGCAGGAGGUUUUUGUACGGCCACUUAAUGAGUUUGUAUCACUGUGGUCCACUUUUGGUGGAGGAACCAAACUCAUCAUUAACUCUGGCCCCACGGUCAGGCCCUCAGUCUCUCUGCUUCCCCCCUCCUCUCAGCAGCUCUCUGGGGGCUCGGCCACGCUGGCCUGCCUGCUGACCGGCUACUCUCCUCAGGGAGCCGUGGUGAGCUGGGAGGUGGACGGUAGAGAGGUGACAGAGGGGGUCCUGAGCAGCUCAGAGGAGGAGAAGAGUGGACGCUACAGCAGCAGCAGCAUCCUGAGCCUGAGCCAGGAGCGCUGGAUGGAAGGAGAGGUGUACUCCUGCAAGGUCCUCCAUCAGGACCACAGCCAGACCCAGUCCCUCCACAGGAGCCAGUGUAAGGGCUAGAGGGGCUGGCUGAAGACCAGGACAGGAGCUGUGUCUGGGGGGAGCAGGAGGAACACACCUGCUCAUCUGAUCAAUAUGAGUUUUAAUGUCUGUAGAGUAAACUGAAGCUUUGUGUGACAGAGAACAACAACAACUUAGAGAGUAAUGUGUGUAGCUCAGCAGCUAGAUGUGAGUGUGCUUAAUAACUGUCCUGUUGAUGAUUGAUGUUUUUGCUAAUAAAGCUUGCACUGAUAAAUAA